rnacentral:tRNA from 1 species
GGGGUUGUGGCUCAGUGGUGGAGCACAUGCCUUGUCUGCGUGGAGCACUGAGUUCGAUCCUCAGCACCGAUA